AGACUCGCUUCCUAGGUGUUCUCUUUGACAACGACCUCUCCUUCACGCCUCAUGUUCAGUUUAUUGCCAAAUUCUGCUGCUUACAUCUCAAAAACAUUGCGCGCAUCCUACCCUACUUAACACCAGAUGCAACUAAGGUGCUGGUCCAUUCCACUGUCCUUUCACACCUUGACUACUGUAAUCCGCUUCUCAGUGGUCUUACGUGC